ensembl:lncRNA LENG8-AS1 LENG8 antisense RNA 1
GGACGGUGGCCCCGAGGGGACAAGCGUGGCCGCAUUAGCUCUUUCUGCCUCCCACGCAGCCUUAUUUUUUUUAUUGUUGUUUUCUUGUUGCUGUUGUUGUUGUUCUCGGAGACGGAGUCUUGCUCUUGCUCUGUCGUCGCCCACGAUAGAGUACAGUGGCGUGAUCUCUGCUCACUGCAACCUCCGCCUCCUGGGUUCAAACAAUUCUGCCUCAGCCUCCGGAGUAGCUGGGAUUACAGGCGCGCGCCACUAUGCCCGGCUAAUUUUUGUGUUUUUAGUAAAGACGGGGUUUCACCAUGUCGGCCAGGCUGUUCUCGAACUCCUGACCUCGUGAUCCCUCCGUCUCGGCUUCCCAAAGUGCUGGGAUUACGGGCGUGAGCCACCGUGCCCGGCCGCAGCCUUGUUUUGACUGAGACUCUGAUACAACUAUCCAGUCCGCUGCAGGGACCGGUCACUGCGUCACA